rnacentral:rRNA from 1 species
GAUGAACGCUGGCGGCGUGCCUAAUACAUGCAAGUCGAGCGAACAGACGAGGAGCUUGCUCCUCUGACGUUAGCGGCGGACGGGUGAGUAACACGUGGAUAACCUACCUAUAAGACUGGGAUAACUUCGGGAAACCGGAGCUAAUACCGGAUAACAUGUUGAACCGCAUGGUUCAACAGUGAAAGACGGUCUUGCUGUCACUUAUAGAUGGAUCCGCGCCGCAUUAGCUAGUUGGUAAGGUAACGGCUUACCAAGGCAACGAUGCGUAGCCGACCUGAGAGGGUGAUCGGCCACACUGGAGCUGAGACACGGUCAAGACUCCUACGGGAGGCAGCAGUAGGGAAUCUUCCGCAAUGGGCGAAAGCCUGACGGAGCAACGCCGCGUGAGUGAAGAAGGUCUUCGGAUCGUAAAACUCUGUUAUUAGGGAAGAACAAAUGUGUAAGUAACUAUGCACGUCUUGACGGUACCUAAUCAGAAAGCCACGGCUAACUACGUG